rnacentral:tRNA from 2 species
GCGCCAGUAGCUCAGCUGGAUAGAGUACUCGGCUACGAACCGAGCGGUCGGAGGUUCGAAUCCUUCCUGGCGCGCCA